UGUUUGCAAAAGGAAAACGGUUCCCGAACCUUUUUGAAGCUCGGGAUUAAAAGGGAAUCCGGUGUAAAACCGGAGCUGUCCCCGCAACUGUAACCCCAUCCUGCACUGCAGGUUAGUGACUUGCCAUCCGCUAAGCCAUUGCUCCGAUUGAUCGGUGUGAGAAGGCCGGUAAGUCCAGGGAAGCCAGGAGACCUGCCAUUUUUCUCCAUAUUCA
rnacentral:ncRNA from 2 species